rnacentral:rRNA from 1 species
UACGGAGGGGGCUAGCGUUGUUCGGAAUUACUGGGCGUAAAGCGCACGUAGGCGGCUUUGUAAGUUAGAGGUGAAAGCCCGGAGCUCAACUCCGGAACUGCCUUUAAGACUGCAUCGCUUGAACGAUGGAGAGGUAAGUGGAAUUCCGAGUGUAGAGGUGAAAUUCGUAGAUAUUCGGAAGAACACCAGUGGCGAAGGCGACUUACUGGACAUCUGUUGACGCUGAGGUGCGAAAGCGUGGGGAGCAAACAGG